rnacentral:tRNA from 1 species
GAGGGUAUAGCUCAGUGGUAGAGUGCAUGCUUAGCAUGCACAAGGUCCUGGGUUCCAUCCCCAGUACCUCCA